rnacentral:rRNA from 1 species
UACAGAGGGGGCAAGCGUUGUUCGGAAUUACUGGGCGUAAAGGGAGCGUAGGCGGACUGUUUAGUCAGAGGUGAAAGCCCAGGGCUCAACCUUGGAAUUGCCUUUGAUACUGGCAGUCUUGAGUACGGAAGAGGUAUGUGGAACUCCGAGUGUAGAGGUGAAAUUCGUAGAUAUUCGGAAGAACACCAGUGGCGAAGGCGACAUACUGGUCCGUUACUGACGCUGAGGCUCGAAAGCGUGGGGAGCAAACAGG